rnacentral:lncRNA from 10 species
AAUUUGAUCGUCUGAAGCCUUCUUCUCUCAACUCGUCAAAGUCAUUCUCCGUCCAGCUUUGUUCCAUUGCUGGUGAGGAGCUGAGUUCCUUUGGAGGAGGAGAGGCGUUCUGCUUUUUAGAGUUUCCAGUUUUUCUGCUCUGUUUUUUCCCCAUCUUUGUGGUUUUAUCUACUUUUGGUCUUUGAUGAUGGUGAUGUACAGAUGGGUUUUUGGUGUGGAUGUCCUUUCUGUUUGUUAGUUUUCCUUCUAACAGACAGGACCCUCAGCUGCAGGUCUGUUGGAGUUUGCUAGAGGUGCACUCCAGACCCUGUUUGCCUGGGUACCAGCAGCGGUGGCUGCAGAACAGCAGAUU